rnacentral:rRNA from 1 species
UACGUAGGUGGCGAGCGUUAUCCGGAAUUAUUGGGCGUAAAGGGCGCGUAGGCGGCAUGGCAAGUCAGAUGUGAAAGCCCCGGGCUUAACCUGGGAAUUGCAUCUGAAACUGUUGUGCUUGAGUUCUGGAGGGGGUAGUGGAAUUCCCAGUGUAGCGGUGAAAUGCGUAGAUAUUGGGAGGAACACCUGCGGCGAAGGCGGCUACCUGGACAGAUACUGACGCUGAGGCGCGAAAGCUAGGGGAGCAAACGGGAUUAGAUACCCCGGUAGU